rnacentral:rRNA from 1 species
GACAGAGGUGCCAAGCGUUAGGCGGAAUCACUGGGCUUAAAGCGUGUGUAGGCGGAUCGUUAAGUGCUUUGUGAAAUCCCACGGCUCAACCGUGGAAUUGCUUGGCAUACUGGCGAUCUUGAGCCACUUAGGGGCAACUGGAACAAACGGUGGAGCGGUGAAAUGCGUAGAUAUCGGAAGGAACACCGGUGGCGAAAGCGGCGCGCUGGACCUCUUCUGACGCUGAGGCGCGAAAGCCAGGGGAGCAAACGGG